rnacentral:lncRNA from 1 species
UUUUUUUUUGAUAUUAAUCACGAGGUAUCCUAGGGAGGGCCCCAACUGUGGGAGACACCUUUAAGCCCGUACCACAACCCAGACUAGAAGUCCCCGCUCGAACCGGGAGGCACAAGUUCUCCCAACAAAGGCGACUUCCCUGCGACUUGAACUGGGGAGCAAACCCAAUCAAGCCACUUAAGGGGACUCCAUUGUCAGUGGAGCCAACACUUUAUUGGUAA